GGAUGUGGCUCAGAGGUAGAGCACCUGCCUAGCACGGCGAGACCCUGGGUUCAAUCCUCAGCACCA
rnacentral:tRNA from 1 species